ensembl:lncRNA ZNF628-DT ZNF628 divergent transcript
AGUUGUGGUCGCGGACUCCAGUUGUCAGGUCUUGGGGGCCGAGGCCCCGGUGAGCCCAAGGCCAGGGACGGCCAGCUCGAGACGCGGGGUCGCAAGUUCCCCUUAUUAAUCCCGAUUCCCUCUCAUCUGCAAAAAAAUCCUUCCAUGCACCACGGUUGUACAAAAAUCCCUCCCGUGAAGCGGGCCCCGCCCCCAGGGUGUAAUCGCUCCAGCGGGAAAACGAGGCCUGGAGCGCUUCCAGUCCCUCGGUAGAGCCACGUGCUCAGGAUUUUCGGGCGUGUGCUUCGUGCACGCUCAUCCAGACGCUGCAGAAACCUGGUUCCUGCUGGGCAAAGGUCUGUUCUGGGAGGCUGGAAUCCACAGACUCCUUGUGGGGCCUAGGGUUUUAGUGGGAGACCGAGCUGCUCCAAAGCCCCUCUCCACGCUCAACCCCCGCCCAACCCAGCGUUCCAGCCACACUGGCUUUUCUGAGGGUCAUUAAACGCAGUUUCUCAACCAGA